rnacentral:rRNA from 1 species
UACGUAGGUGACAAGCGUUGUCCGGAUUUACUGGGCGUAAAGAGCGCGCAGGCGGUCGUUCAAGUCGAGUGUGAAAGCCCCCGGCUCAACUGGGGAGGGUCACUCGAUACUGAUCGACUCGAAGGCAGGAGAGGGAAGUGGAAUUCCCGGUGUAGUGGUGAAAUGCGUAGAUAUCGGGAGGAACACCAGUGGCGAAGGCGGGUCUCUGGGCAACACCUGACGCUGAGGCGCGAAAGCGUGGGGAGCAAACGGG